rnacentral:lncRNA from 1 species
UGGAGGUAAGCAGAUUUUCUCAGCUAAUUGAAAGCACACUCGAUUUGGACGUUCAGUAUGAUGAUUGAUUAUUUUCUGGACCUUCAGAGGCACCAGUUUCCACAGGAUUCAACAUAUUGUCCCCUGAAGUUCCUCCUGUAGAUUCUUGAUUCUUUGUUGAUUUUAAAGUGUUGGAGGAAUUCUUGAUGAAACAUGACCUUUUCGUUCCUUCAAAGUUUUUUCUUUUGAAAACAAAUUUAGGAAUGCUUCUCCCCUCUAAGGGUAGAAGAGUACAUAUGGUUUAAAGAGGUAGGGUUAACGGGUUAAAUAUUCUUUUGGUGCGGAGGUAAGCAGAUUUUCUCAGUUAAUUGAAAGCACACUCGAUUUGGACGUUCUGUAUGAUGAUUGAUUAUUUUCUGGACCUUCAGAGGCACCAGUUUCCACAGGAUUCAACAUAUUGUCCCCUGAAGUUCCUCCUGUAGAUUCUGGAUUCUUUGUUGAUUUUAAAGUGUUGGAGGAAUUUUUGAUGAAACAUGGCCUUUUCGUUCCUUCAAAGUUUUUUCUUUUGAAAACAAAGUUAGGAAUGCUUCUCCCCUCUAAGGGUAGAAGAGUACAUAUGGUUUAAAGAGGUAAGGUUAACGGGUUAAAUAUUAUUUUGGUGUAAACUGCUUUUGCAUCUGAGAGACCAAUUCCAUUCACCUGUACAUGGUAGUACUAAUUUCUUAUGUAAAGCUAUAUUAAUAGCCAGAUGUUUUCACCAAAAACUGACUCCAAUGAAGAGAUGAUCUACAAUUGUCUACAAUUGUUUAUGGAUAUCAGUGCUUGGCUUUGACCUGAUUGGUUUUUAGCAGUUUUGCAUUAAGAUUUCACCUGAACAUGGUACUAAUUUCUUAUGCAAAGCUGUCUUAAUAGCAGUUUUGCAGCUAUUUUUACAAAAAAUACCAGUGCUUGACUUGGACCUCAUUGGUUUCAUUUGCUGCCAGUUUUGUGACAGUUAAGCAUUCUUCUUUUAUCUAACGGCGAACGUGAUAUGGGGUCAUCUGUCUAAGCUCUGAUGGACAUUGUUCCAUGGAAGUUGUGCUUGUGGGAGGUAGCAGAUAGUGGCGGAAGCAGUAUUUUCACCAAAGGGAUUCAAACAACUAUAGAGGUAAACACGCGAAAAAGCUAAGGGGAUUGAUUCAACAUCUUAUAUAUGUACAUGGUGAAAAAUAUUUGAUAUUAUAUAAAUAGUGUAAUUUUAGGGUGAAGGGAGUUUGCAACCUCCUUCAGCCCACCUAGCUCCGCUUCUGGUAGCAGGUACUUGCAAGCUGGCUCGGACAACCACUGCUAUAAAAGAAAAAAUAGAAACGGCACUGGUUGGAUAAUAGUUGUACUAUGAAAAUAACAGGUUCUUGGUAGCAUGAUGUGAAAUUUCUAUCUAAUUAGAUUAUGGAGAUCAUCUAGUCAUCUGAUUACUUAAGACAGUAAUAUACCCCAAUUCUAAGUUUCUAACAUGAAACACAAAGUAAGCAAAGGUAGGAAUAGAGUAGUUAGUUUAGACUUCUUUAGUUAGAUUUAAGAGACCAGUAUAAAGGAAUGCAAGUCUGACUACGUAUAAAAGCUCUCUUAUUAUGAUAAGUGACCAAAUAACGUGAGGUUUGUUACGAUAAAUAGCAAUUUAUGGUGGAUGUCUACUCUUCUUUCAUGAUCUUCAUCUCAAAUGGUUUAUGACAUAUUCAAUGGCUAUUUUGUAUAUUCCAUGACAUAUUUUCUUCACUUUUUAUGCCUAUUUAAAGGCCUUGUAAUAGAUAGGAAAACACACAAUUGAAGAAGAAAAUCUAUUCCCUCUCUAUCUAC